rnacentral:tRNA from 1 species
GCCCUCGUAGCUCAGUGGAUAGAGCACGGGCCUUCUAAUCCUGUGGUCGCAGGUUCGAAUCCUGCCGGGGGCA